rnacentral:lncRNA from 1 species
UCUAUCAUAAUGUGGUAAUGAUUUUCGAAUAUAUACAUAGUACUGUCCAAAAAAAUUAGACAAUAAAGAAACUGAAAAAAUUCAUCUAGCUUUUGGCAACUUUUUUUAACAAAGAAUGACAUUAAGAUUGUUCAUAGAGAAACAACUAAUGUUCAUACAAAACACUAGAAAGACCGGCAAUUUAGAGCAUUCCAAAACCCUUUGACAUGCUAAACAAAUUGCAAUAUGGUUGACAUCUUUCGAGUCCAUAUCUAUAUGCUUCGUAUUUGCAAACGACUUUUAAUUUGAUUAACAUCUUCCACAAUCUUUUGAAUAAAUUCAUGUUCGUACCUGCAACUAUUGUCUACAUGUUUCUAGCUAUAUCUUGAUAAUGUUUUGAGAUUAUUGUUCAAUUUCAACAUUAUGAAUAUAUUAUUCUCUAUAUGUGUGUAAUCCGGACUAUAGAUCCGCCCCUUCCUCAAAUAUAUUAUAAGAUUUUGGUUUUCUUAAAAUAUGUACAGACUCCUUUUAGCUAUUGCAGAAAAAGAAUUGGUAAAUCUUUCAUUAUCUUUCACCCUUAUAUUUAAAUGUUUUCUCAUUAGAUCUCAUGGUUCUUUUCUCCCUAAAUUUUACUUUUUUGUAUUUCAAUAAAAACUUCGGUUGCUAUGAAUCGAAUUUUUUAUGUCUUGAAAAAAUUUUCGGUUUCUGUUAAUCGAAUUUUCCUUGAAUUUGAACUAGAAAAAACUUCGGUUUCUGCCAACCGAAAUUUUUAUCAAGGGCAAAAUUGAAAUAUUUUGGGUAUAAAAGAUACACGGGAGGCCUAGAGAGAAAACAUCUUAUAUCCAUUCCCCUAUCCUCUUUUUUUUGGAUAAAUGAUUGUUUACCUCCCGUAAAGUUAGCGAAAUUUGAUUUACGUUAUGCGUAAUUUUUUUCUGUUUACCACCUACAAUAUGAAGAUUCUCUCAUUUUGCACCCCAAGUGAACAAUUGGACAGCUGACUGUGCAUUUGCGAUGACGUGACAUGCACACAUGAAACAAUAUUAAUUUAUAUUUAUUUUUAAUUCCACUUAAGCUAAUUUUAAUUUUUUUUAAAAAAAUAAUAUUUAUUUUUUUAAAAAAAAAUUCUUAAAACUUUAUCAUUCUAUAUAACAAUAUUUUCAUGUAUUUAUUUCUCUAGAGAAUAUAAUUAUUUUUGAAAACUUCAAAGUUGAAGUACCGACUUAUUUACCAACCCUCUAAAUCGUGAUCAUAACGUCUAACAAAGAUGUGUUGUUAUAAAAGAUUAAAAUCAACUUAUAUUGAGAUCAAAUGUGGUAAUGAUGUUCGAAUAGAUAAACAGUUGCUUUUGGCAAUUUUUUUUAACAAAGAAUGAAAUUAAGAUUGGUCAUAGAGAAACAACUUAUGUUCAUACAAAACACUAGAAAGGACAGUACCUGGAUUCCCUACAGUAAAUUUUUAACACAGUUUUCUGCUGUAGUUAAUCUGGAUCAUUCAUUUAUGAUCGGACGGUACACAUUUCAAACACAGUUUUCUAAAUUAAACAAUCUGAACCGUCAAUUCAGAUCGGACGGUGCAUAUCUGUUACAGCAGGGUGCUGUUACAGCAUCAAAUCCGUUUCCGAAAGGACAAGCUAAACAAAUUGCAAUAUGGUUGACAUCUUUCGAGUCCAUAACUAUAUGCUUCGUAUUUGCAAACGACUUUUAAUUUGAUCGGCAUCUUCCACGAUCUUUUGAAUAAAUUCAUGUUCGUACCUGCAAAAGUAUGUACAAGAUCUUUCA